UGGGUGGAUGGAGGAUGCCUUGGGUGCGGGGAGCGAUGAAGGGCGUGGCGUAGCUGCGAUAAGCCCGGGGGAGGUGCGUAGCAACCUGUGAUCCCGGGAUUCCCGAAUGGGGAAACCUGGGUGGGAAAACCCCACUCAUCCUUCCAGGAGAAUUCCUGGGGAGGCGAGACCCGGGGAAGUGAAACAUCUCAGUACCCGGAGGAAAAGAAACCAAAAGGUAUUCCCUGAGUAGCGGCGAGCGAAAAGGGAGGAGCCCAAACCCCCCCAGAUAUACAUCUGGGGGGAGGUUGUGGGGGUAAGACGGAGGAGAAAAUCCUCAGAGAGUUAUAAAUUCUCUCUCUAGCCGAAAGAUCCUGGAACGGACUGCCAUAGAGGGUGAAAGCCCCGUAGGCGAAAGGGAGAGAACUCUCAGGUCUUAUACCCCGAGUACCACGAGGCCAAGAAAACCUUGUGGGAAGCAGGGAGGACUACCUCCCAAGGCUAAAUAUCUCCCGCACACCGAUAGUGCACUAGUACCGUGAGGGAAAGGUGAAAAGUACCCCGGUGAGGGGGGUGAAACAGAACCUGAAACCAUCCACUCACAAGGAGCAGGAGGGGAGAAAAUUCUCCCUGACUGCGUACCUAUUGGAGCAGGAGCCAACGAGUUCUCAUUCUCCCCAUGUCUAAGGGGUGAUCCCCCGUAGGCAGAGUGAAAGCGAGGGUGAAUAGCCCGUUAGGGGAGGGUGAGAGACCCGAAGCCGAGCGAGCUUGCCCUGGCCAGGGUGAAGGGAAGAGAAAUCUUCCUGGAGGCCCGAACCCGUGGGUUGUGCAAAACCUUGGGAUGAGCUGGGGCAAGGAGUGAAAGGCUAAACUAGCUCGGGAAUAGCUGGUUCUCCCCGAAAUAUGUUUGGGCAUAGCGUCAGGAGUUUGCAGAUGGCGGUAGAGCACUGGAAGGAAUAUCGUGGUUUUUGCCAGAUAUUCCUACCAAACUCCGAAUGCUAUCUGCUAACAUCCUGGCAGUCAGACUUAGGGCGAUAAGGUCCUAGGUCGAGAGGGGAACAACCCAGACCCCAAUCUAAGGUCCCUAAGUGAGGGCUAAGUGCUAAAAGAAGGAAGUGGGGUCCCUUAGAUAACUGGAAGGUGAGCUUAGAAGCAGCUAUCCUUUAAAAAGUGCGUAACAGCUUACCAGUUGAGGGACCCUGCGCCGAAGAUUUAACGGGGCUUAAGCUCUCCACCGAAGAUGGGGAGCCAUUGCUCCGCAAUGGAAGCACCAAAUUCCAAGCACCAAAUCAUAAAUUAAUAAUGUUUGGAAUUUGGAUUUUGUGAUUUGGAAUUUCACUGCGGAGCAGUGGUUGGUAGGGGAGCGUCGCCACCGGGUUGAAGUCAAGCCGUGAGGCUUGGUGGACUGGUGGCGAGUGCGGAUGUUGGCAUGAGUAACCGCAACCUGGGUGAAAGCCCCAGGGGCCGAAAGCCCAAGGUUUCCGUGGCAACGGUGAUCGACCACGGGUUAGGCGGUCCUAAGGGGAAGCCGAAAGGCGCACCUGACGGGCAGUGGGUUAAUAUUCCCACCCUACCUAGGGGUUCUGAAGGGUGACGAAGAGGAGUAGUUGGGAGGGAUUAUUGGCUUUCCCUCAGCCGGAUUUUCCGGGGUUCCUGAUGAAUCCUCUUCCUAGAAAAGCCCGUAGGGUUAACUCCUAGGUAACCGUACCGCAAACCGACACAGGUGGGCUGGUAGAGAAUACCAAGGCCAACGGGUGAAAGCUGGGGAAGGAACUCGGCAAAAAAGCUACCCGUAACUUCGGGAGAUGGGUUGCCAGCGCUUCGCUAUCGCGAAGCGGAGUAAUUAGUAAAUUAGUACGGUCGCUUUCGCGACCUUUAGUAAAUUAGCAUUUAUUUGCUAAUUUACUAAUCAGCUAAAUUACUAAUCAACUAAUUACUACGGCUCGCGGUAGCGAGGCGUCUGGUCGCAGCGAAAGUUUCCCUGGGGACUGUUUAACAAAAACACAGGUCCCUGCUAAAAAGCGAAAGCUGAUGUAUAGGGGCUGAGGCCUGACCAGCGCCCGUGUGUUACGGCUGGGGAUUCCUGGAGUUUUUCUGGGAGUUCACCGGCUCAAGCCACGGGUAAGCGUCGGCGGUAACUCUGACCGUCCGAAGGUAGCGUAAUCCCUUGUCGGGUAAGUUCCGGCCUGCAUGAAAGGCUUAACCACUGGGGAACUGUCUCCCCCAGCUGCCCGGUGAAAAUACAGUGGGUGUGAAGAUGCACCCUACCCGCGGCUAGACGGAAAGACCCCGGCAGCUUUACUGCUAGGUGGUAUUGAACUUUGGUUUCUGGUGCAUAGCGUAGCGGGGAGGCUAUGAAGGCAGGUCUCCGGGCCUGCUGGAGCCGCCAAUGGAACACCCGCCACUGGAGGCUAAAGUUCUAACUCAACUUUAGCUUAGGGCAAAAACCAAGCUAAGGUGGGAACAGUGCCACCGAGGCAGUUUAGAUGGGGCAUCUGCCCUCUAAAAAGUAACGAGGGCGCGCAUAAGGUCGGCUUGGGGCGGAUGGAAAUCGCCCUUAAAGUGCAAGGGCAUAAGCCGGCCUGACUGCGAUCUGGACGCAGAGAGCAGAGGGGAAACCCGGCCCUAGUGAACCGACCCUCCUUUGUAGGAAGGGGGGAGAUCAUCGGCCAAAAGUUACGCCGGGGAUAACAGACUGGUAGGGCCCGCGAGUUCACAUCUACGGCCCUGUUCGGCACCUCGAUGUCGGCUCGUCUCAUCCUGGGGGUGGAGAAGCUCCCAAGGGUUGGGCUGUUCGCCCAUUAAAGAGACCCGUGAGUUGGGUUCAGUACGUCGUGAGACAGUACGGUCCCUAUCUACCGCGGGCGUCUGGGGACUUGAGGGGAGUGGCCCCUAGUACGAGAGGACCGGGGUCAACUGACCUCUGGCGUAUGGGUUGUGGCGCCAGCCGCACAGCCCAGUAACCACGUCGGGACGGGAUAAGAGCUGAAAGCAUCUAAGCUCGAAGCCCACCCCAAGAUUAGGUCCCCUUGAGCCAGGUUGGAGACUACGACCUUGAUAGGGCGCACCUGUAAGUCCCGUAAGGGAUUGAGGGGAGCGCUACUAAUUGGCGAAUUGGCUCUUGA
rnacentral:rRNA from 1 species